ensembl:lncRNA
GUGGGACAGUGCAUCCGGCUUGACAUUCUUGGAUCCCGACCGGUACGAGAGGGAGAAGUUGAACUGUGUGAACAGCAGGGCCCAUCUGGCUUGCCUGGAGUUGAGGCACUUGGCGGUGCGGAGAUACUCCAGGUUCUUGUGGUUGGUCUACACGAUGAAUGGAUGUUCUGCCCCCUCUAUCCAGUGCCUCCAUUACUCCAACACCAUAUUCACCGCGAGAAGCACAUGAUUCCCCACAUCGUAGUUCCUGUCCGUGGCGUUGAGGCAAUGUGAAAAGAAGGCGCAGGGAUGUAAGCUUGAGGUCCAGGGCAGAACGCUGGGACAGUACAGCCCCCACUCCGAUAUCCGAAACAUCAGCCUCCACCACGAACUGACGGGAUGUUUCAGGACGAACCAAGAUGGGAGCUGUGGUGAAGCGAUGUUUGAGGUCCCGGAACGCCCGGUCAGCAGCUGGAGACCACGUGAACGGAACCUUGAGCGAGGUGAGUUCUGACUGCUGGCUUUUCCUGGGGAAAGCCAGGGUGCUGUAACUCUGGAUAAAGCAGGGAUAGAAGUUGGCGAACCCCAGGAAAUGUUGCAGCUGCACCUCGGAAGUAGGCUGGGGCCAAUCAACCACCUCUCUCACCUUCCCGGGAUCCAUUUGUACACACCCUGCAGUGAUGAUGUAACCCAGAAAAAGGAUGGUGGAGCGAUGAAACUCGCACUUCUCUGCUUAUACAAACUGCUGGUUCUCCAGGAGGUGUUGGAGAACCUGUCGUACGUGGAGCACAUGUUCUUGGGUGGAGCGGGAGAAGAUCAGGAUGUCAUCGAUGUAGACAAAGACAAACCGGUUCAACAUAUCGCAGAGAACAUCAUUGGCCAGAGCCUGGAACACAGCAGAGGUCGUUGGUGAGGACAGAUGGUAUGACCAGAUACUCGUAGUGACCGCUGGCCGUGUUGAAGGCGGUCUUCCACUUGUCCACUUCCCAUAUCCUCACCAGGUGGAAAGAGUUCCGUAGAUCCAGCUUGGAAAACACAGUGGCCCCCUGGAGCGGCUCUAUCCCCGAGGAGAUGAGGGAUAGGAGGUAGCUGGUCUUCAUCAUUAUGUCAUUGAGACCCCAGUAGUCGAUGCACGGGCAGGUUCUUGUCCUCCUCCACAAAGAAUAACCCUGCGCCAGCGGGUGAAGAAGAAGGACAGAUGAUUCCUGCAGCUAGGUAGUCCCCAAUGUAGGUCUCCAUCGUCUUGGUCUCUGGUCCCGACAGAGAGUACCGUCGUCCUCGGGAGAGUCGUGCUUGGGAGAAGGUCAAUCCCGCAGUCAUAAGGUCAGUGUGGCGAAAGCGAAGUGGCCCGGGCCUUGUUGAACACCUCCCAGAGGUCCUGGUACUCCGUGUGGAUGGCGGAGUGGUCCGGGGCGACUUCCGAGCCCCCAGGAAGACGUCCCAGGGCAGGUUAUGCUGACUUCAGGCAAUGGGCGUGGCAGGACAGGCUCCAGCCCAUGAUGGCACCAGUAGACCAGUUAAUGAGAGGAUUGUGCCGCUGGAGCCAGGAGAAUCCCAAUACCACAGGAAUCUGAGGAGAAGUGGAUAGCCUCGCUGUGAUUCCCUGACACACGUAGGUUGAUGGGAGUGGUGUUGUGGGUGACCCAGCCUAUAGAUCGCCCAUCCAGUGCUCCACAAUAGGUUCCUCUCACUGGUAUUGUCAUGACCCUCAAGGGUGUGGAAGUGUGUGUGUGUGUGUGUGUGUGUGUGUGU